rnacentral:rRNA from 1 species
GAUGAACGCUGGCGGCGUGCCUAAUACAUGCAAGUCGAGCGAACAGACGAGGAGCUUGCUCCUCUGACGUUAGCGGCGGACGGGUGAGUAACACGUGGAUAACCUACCUAUAAGACUGGGAUAACUUCGGGAAACCGGAGCUAAUACCGGAUAAUAUAUUGAACCGCAUGGUUCAAUAGUGAAAGACGGAUUUGCUGUCACUUAUAGAUGGAUCCGCGCCGCAUUAGCUAGUUGGUAAGGUAACGGCUUACCAAGGCAACGAUGCGUAGCCGACCUGAGAGGGUGAUCGGCCACACUGGAACUGAGACACGGUCCAGACUCCUACGGGAGGCAGCAGUAGGGAAUCUUCCGCAAUGGGCGAAAGCUUGACGGAGCAGCGCCGCGUGAGUGAUGAAGGUCUUCGGAUCGUAAAACUCUGUUAUUAGGGAAGAACAAAUGUGUAAGUAACUAUGCACGUCUUGACGGUACCUAAUCAGAAAGCCACGGCUAACUACGUG